UUGGAAAAAUCCGCGCCUCCGUGCGGACCUGGUCCUUGGCCGAUGUAAAUGAUGAUUUCGCUUUUUUCCCCAUCAGAUCGACAGUGCUGAUGUCUUUGAACAUUUGCCAGUUAGUUCUGAUCACACCGGCCUCAGGAGGCCCCGCCAUGUUCCGAUCCCAACCGUGAGAAGAUGGCGAUGGAUACCCUUUCUUUGUUGGUUCGCAGGUCGGCGCCAUCCGAGGGUACAGAAUGGAUCCCAGAGGAGGGGGUCGCUGCUGGGUCUUCAAGAGAGCCCCCCGUAGAGCUCUACAGCCUUUUGUCUCCUGAUCUCUGGCGUAAGCAUUUGGAUCCUGGCCUGUCGUAGGAAACGCGUGGUCUGGGAGCUUCUUCGUGUGCUGGGCAAACUGGAGGGAAAAAAUGCAGAUUCAGCCGUAGCUAAUUUUACUUAGUUACUGUUGGCUGAAAGCAGACUUCGAGUAGACCAGGAAUGAGAUGUUGGUUAGGAACCCUGUGAGCCACAGGACCAUACGUAGAUGCAGCCUGAUGAGCUUGGUUCAUUCUGACCUGCGGCAGGAAUUUCUCAACUAUGGAGCUGGUCCCAAGUCUUGGAAAAGAUUGAUCCUGUGCUUUCCUGAGAAAGAGUGAUAGUUCUGGUUGAAUCUGUCUCAAAAAGGUUUUAUGUAACCUGAGGACUGUCUAGAGGCCUGUGCCCAUUUUGAAGAAUCCAGGAUUAUGGUUAAACUUGGUAAACAUUUUUAGUUUGUAUCAUUCCUAUCUGGAGAGAGAAAAUAAAAUUCUUAAAACAAAAA